rfam:Microbacterium sp. LCT-H2 scaffold1, whole genome shotgun sequence.
GCCCCGAUAGCUCAGUGGCAGAGCACUUCCAUGGUAAGGAAGGGGUCGUCAGUUCAAUCCUGACUCGGGGCU